GCCUGGACAGCUCAGUCGGCUAGAGCGUGAUAAUGCCAUGGUUGCAGGUUCGAUCCCUGCACAGGACA